AUAACAAUACAGGACUCAUAUCCGUAGGCCCGUGUAAUUGGAAUGAGUACACAUUAAAAGGCCUUUAACAAGGACCAAUUGGAGGGCAAGUCUGGUGCCAGCAGCCGCGGUAAUUCCAGCUCCAAUAGCGUAUAUUAAAGUUGUUGCGGUUAAAACGUUCGUAGUUGAACUUGUGCUUCAUACGGGUAGUACAACUUACAAUUGUGGUUAGUACUAUACCUUUAUGUAUGUAAGCGUAUUACCGGUGGAGUUCUUAUAUGUGAUUAAAUACUUGUAUUUUUUCAUAUGUUCCUCCUAUUUAAAAACCUGCACUAGUGCUCUUAAACGAGUGUUAUUGUGGGCCGGUACUAUUACUUUGAACAAAUUAGAGUGCUUAAAGCAGGCUUCAAAUGCCUGAAUAUUCUGUGCAUGGGAUAAUGAAAUAAGACCUCUGUUCUGCUUUCAUUGGUUUUCAGAUCAAGAGGUAAUGAUUAAUAGAAGCAGUUUGGGGGCAUUAGUAUUACGACGCGAGAGGUGAAAUUCUUGGACCGUCGUAAGACUAACUUAAGCGAAAGCAUUUGCCAAAGAUGUUUUCAUUAAUCAAGAACGAAAGUUAGAGGUUCGAAGGCGAUCAGAUACCGCCCUAGUUCUAACCAUAAACGAUGCCAGCUAGCAAUUGGGUGUAGCUACUUUUAUGGCUCUCUCAGUCGCUUCCCGGGAAACCAAAGCUUUUGGGCUCCGGGGGAAGUAUGGUUGCAAAGCUGAAACUUAAAGGAAUUGACGGAAGGGCACCACCAGGAGUGGAGCCUGCGGCUUAAUUUGACUCAACACGGGAAAACUUACCAGGUCCGAACAUAAGUGUGUAAGACAGAUUGAUAGCUCUUUCUCGAAUCAUGGGUGGUGGUGCAUGGCCGUUCUUAUUCGUGGAGUGAUUUGUCUGGUUAUUCCGAUAACAACAGACUCAAAUAUUAAAUAGAAUCUCAGAUAUGGGC
rnacentral:ncRNA from 1 species